GACGAACGCUGGCGGCGUGCUUAACACAUGCAAGUCGAACGGAAAGGCCCUGCUUUUGUGGGGUGCUCGAGUGGCGAACGGGUGAGUAACACGUGAGUAACCUGCCCUUGACUUUGGGAUAACUUCAGGAAACUGGGGCUAAUACCGGAUAGGAGCUCCUGCUGCAUGGUGGGGGUUGGAAAGUUUCGGCGGUUGGGGAUGGACUCGCGGCUUAUCAGCUUGUUGGUGGGGUAGUGGCUUACCAAGGCUUUGACGGGUAGCCGGCCUGAGAGGGUGACCGGCCACAUUGGGACUGAGAUACGGCCCAGACUCCUCCGGGAGGCAGCAGUGGGGAAUAUUGCACAAUGGGCGGAAGCCUGAUGCAGCAACGCAGCGUGCGGGAUGACGGCCUUCGGGUUGUAAACCGUUUUCGCCUGUGACGAAGCGUGAGUGACGGUAAUGGGUAAAGAAGCACCGGCUAACUACGUG
rnacentral:rRNA from 1 species